UACGAAGGGGGCUAGCGUUGUUCGGAAUGACUGGGCGUAAAGGGCGCGUAGGCGGCGCAUCAAGUCGGGCGUGAAAGCCCCGGGCUCAACCUGGGAACUGCGUUCGAGACUGGAGUGCUAGAGUUCGGGAGAGGAGAGUGGAAUUCCCAGUGUAGAGGUGAAAUUCGUAGAUAUUGGGAAGAACACCAAUGGCGAAGGCAGCUCUCUGGACCGAUACUGACGCUGAGGCGCGAAAGCGUGGGGAGCAAACAGG
rnacentral:rRNA from 1 species